rfam:Schistosoma rodhaini strain Burundi genome assembly, scaffold: SROB_contig0004201
AUUGGUUCUGUUAUCAUUAGAUGUAGUAUCUGUGUAGUAUUUGUCCAUUGCAGUGUAAUUUCUGCAACGGUCUCUAAACUGAGACCAAUAAAAUUACCUGUAUUUUUCACCUCCGGAUGGGUGCUGUGAGCUUGCUCAACUACGUCCACGGGUCGGCCUCGUAUUUCAUUGCCUCGAGAAUCAUUGGUUCAUAUGAA